GAGGAGCAGGGAAGAUGGCGGCUGUGGUGGAGAAUGUAGUGAAGCUGAUUGGCCUCCGGACAGCUGUACUCCUACCCUGCCCGGCGCUGGCGGAAAAAGCGGCGAGCCCAUCCCCCUGAGGAUCCACGACUUUCCUUCCCAUCUAUUAAGCCAGACACAGACCAGACCCUGAAGAAGGAGGGGCUGAUCUCUCAGGAUGGCAGUAGUUUAGAGGCUCUGUUGCGCACUGACCCCCUGGAGAAGCGAGGUGCCCCGGAUCCCCGAGUUGAUGAUGACAGCCUGGGCGAGUUUCCUGUGACCAACAGUCGAGCGCGAAAGAACCAGAUGACUUCCUGGAUGACCUCGAUGAUGAAGACUAUGAAGAAGAUACUCCCAAGCGUCGGGGAAAGGGGAAAUCCAAGUUUGUGGAAAACGUUACAAGAACCGACCAGGCCUCAGUUACCACUAUGCCCACUCCCACUUGGCUGAGGAGGAGGGCGAGGACAAGGAAGACUCCCAACCACCCACUCCUGUCUCCCAGAGGUCUGAGGAGCAGAAAUCCAAAAAAGGUCCUGAUGGAUUGGCCUUGCCCAACAACUACUGUGACUUCUGCCUGGGGGACUCAAAGAUUAACAAGAAGACGGGACAACCCGAGGAGCUGGUGUCCUGUUCUGACUGUGGCCGCUCAGGUACUGCCUCCCGUGAAGGCUGCUGCUGUGCCCAGUCCCCAAGGGGCUCUUGGCUUGCUGGCCUCUAGGGCUGUCAUAACCAGCCCACCUCACUUUUCCUAACCAAGAGAAGAUGUAGCCACAGGCAGGAGCUCCUCUCUUCCCCCCGGCAGUUCCGACUGUCUGUCUCACUCACUUCCCCCACUACAGGGCAUCCAUCUUGCCUCCAGUUUACCCCUGUGAUGAUGGCGGCAGUGAAGACAUACCGCUGGCAGUGCAUCGAGUGCAAAUGUUGCAACAUCUGCGGCACCUCCGAGAACGACGUGUGUAUCCCCGCCCCCUCCUCAGCAUGGCUCCUUCUGGGCUUUUACUGCUGUUUGCACAGUUCCCUCUAAAGUGAGCUUUCUUUUAAAAAGGGAGCAGGAUCCCUCCCACAUGCCACAUGCCCCUCCCUAGCAUCUCAGUCAGAACUCUGAUUUGUUGCCAGAUAUAUAUUGAGUGCUGAUUUUAUGUCAGACACUGUUCUAGGCACUAAAGAUGCUAAAGACAAACAAGGUCCCUGCCUCAUGAGAUUUACAUUCUUACAGGAACAACAAUAAGCAAGGAUGUUAAGUGAGAUUUGUAUAAUGUGCCAUGAAAAAAAUGAAACCAGUACUGUGGCAGAGAAUAAUUGCAUAAGUGAUUUAUUUUGAUUGUCAGGUAUGGCUCUUCUGGGAGGGUGAUGCUGGUGUUGAAAUUUUGGUGGUACCAAGGAGCCAGUCAAGAAGAUGUGGAGGUAGAGCAAUCCCAGGAAAGGAGCAGCCAGCACCAAGGCCUUAUGGUGGACAAGCCAGAUGACAGGGCAUGGGAGAGUAUGGCGGGGGAUGAGAUGAGAGAGGCAAGCACUGCCAGAUCUGUGGGGCCUUGGGUUUUAUUCUAGGUACAACAGGACACUGUUGAAGGGUUUUAAUCAGGGAAGUGACAUGGUUAUUUAUGUAUUUAUUUAUUUACUUUUUUUUUUUUUUUUGAGACAGAGUCUUGCUUUGUCGCCCAGGCUGGAGUACAGUGGCGCAAUCUCGGCUCACUGCAACCUCUGCCUCCUGGGUUCAAGCGAUUCUCCUGCCUCAGCCUCCCAAGUAGCUGGGAUUACAGACAUGGGCCACCACACCCGGCUAAUUUUGUAUUUUUAGUAGAGAUGGGGUUUCUCUAUGUUGGCCAGGCUGGUAUCGAACUCCUGACCUCAGGUGAUCCGCCUGCCUCAGCCUCCCAAAGUGCUGGGAUUAUAGGCGUGAGCCACCGCACCCGGCUAUUUAUUUAUUCUUUAUGUAUUUAUUUAUUUAUUUUGAGACAGAGUCUCUCUGUCACCCAGGCUGGAGUGCAAUGGUGCGAUCUUAGCCACUACAACCUCUCCCUUCAGGCUCAAGCAGUCCAAUCCUCUCACCUCAGCCUCCCAGGUACCUGGGACCACAGAUGCACACCACCAUGCCUGGCUAUUUUUUAAUAUUUUUGGUAGAGACAGGGUCUUGCCAUAUUGCUGAGCUGGUCUCAAAACUCCUGAGCUCAAGCAGUCCUCCCACCUUGGCCUCUCAAAGUGCUGGGAUUACAGGCAUGAACCCACCAUGUCUGGCCUUGUCUUAUAUUUUAUUUUAUAUUUAUUUAUUUAUUUCAAGAUGCAGUUUUACUCUUGUCACCCAGGCUGGAGUACAAUGGCGCAAUCUCGGCUCACUGCAACCUCUGCCUCCCAGGUUCAAGCAAUUCUCCUGUCUCAGCCUCCCAGGUAGCUGGGAUUACAGGCGCCCGCCACCACACCUGGCUAAUUUUUAGUAGAGACGGGUUUUCACCAUGUUGGCCAAGCUGGUUUUGAACUCAUGACCUCAGGUGAUCCACCUGCCUCAGCCUCCCAAAAUGCUGGUAUUACAGGUGUGAGCCACUGUGCUUGGCCCUUGUCUUAUAUUUUAAAAAGAUGACUUUGGCUGCUGUGUGGAGGGUAGACUGUAGGGACAAGGAUGGAGGCUUAUGCCUGUAAUCCUAACACUUGAGAGGCUGAGGCGGGAGGAUCACUUGAGCCCAGGAAUUCAAGACCAGCCUGAGCAACAUAGGGAGAUCCUGUCUCCACAAAAAAAAUUAAAACUUAGCCAGGUGUGGUGGCACACACGUUAGUCCCAGCUACUUGGCAGGCUGAGGUGGGAGGAUCGCUUGAACCCAGGAGUUUGAGGCUGCAGUGAGCCAUGAUCACACCACCUUACUCUAGCCUGGGCAACAAAGCGAGUCCUUGUCUCAAAAAGAAAUAGUCACUGGGCACGGCGUCUCACACCUGUAAUCCAAGCGCUUUGGGAGGCUGAGGUGGGAGGAUUGCUUGAGCCUGGGAAUUCAGGACCAGCCUGGGCAACAUAAGGAGAUCUUGUCUCUCCAAAAAAAUUCAAAAGUUAGCUGGGUGUGGUGGUGUGUGCCUAUAGUCCCAGCUACUUGAGAGGCUGAGGUAGGAGGAUCACUUGGGCCCAGGAGGUCAAGGCUGCAGUGAGCCAUGAUUGCACCACUGCACUCCAGCCUGAGUGACAGCAAUACCCUGUCUCAAAAAAAUAUACCAUAGAGCUUGGGCUUUAGGAAAAAAAAAAAAAGUGGAGGCGAUUUGAUCAAUUAGGAGCUCUGAAAGGACCCAAGUGAGAGAUGACAGUGACUGGAUCUGCGGUGGAGAGGGACAGCAUGGUUUCCUACAUAAGAUUCUCACAUCUGUUCUUACCUGCUACCUACCCCUCUCGGAAAUAGCAGUGUCCUGUGGUGGCCUGAGGCACAUCAGUUAUUCAAUCCCCAUCCUCUUCCCUCUUGCCUACUUCAGGACCAGCUGCUCUUCUGUGAUGACUGCGAUCGUGGCUACCACAUGUACUGUCUCACCCCGUCCAUGUCUGAGCCCCCUGAAGGAAGUUGGAGCUGCCACCUGUGUCUGGACCUGUUGAAAGAGAAAGCUUCCAUCUACCAGAACCAGAACUCCUCUUGAUGUGGCCAACCCCCUGCUCCCCGACAUAUCUAAGGCUGUUUCUCUCCUCCACUUCAUAUUUCAUACCCAUCUUUCCCUUCUUCCUCCUCUCCUUCACAAGUCCAGAGAACCUUGGGGUGGUUGUGCCAGCCUGCCUUUGGCAGCUGCAAGCUGAGGUGGCAGCUCUGACCACCUCUGGCCCCAGGCCCUCAGGGAGAAAGGAGCAACACACUGCCCCUAGGCGUACGUGUGGCCCAGUUUCUCUCUGCUCUCCAUUAAGUGCAUUCACUCUGCUUGCCUUGGGCCCAGGCCCUGGUGAUCACAGGGUUCAAACAGUGUCCUCCUAGAAAGAAUGGGAGAGCAGCUCACUUCUCUGUGUUCUGCCUCCACUCUGGUCUCCAGAGUUUUCCUGUCCUCUAGAGGCAAGCCAGGCCAGGGAGCUGGGAGCGAGCAAGCUGAGGCCACGUCCACAAGGAGCUUUUCAUGCCCCUGUGCCGCAUAGCCUCACCUCUCUCCUCCCGAGUGGCUCUCUGCGGCCCUGUGUUCCUGCUACAGAGGGUUCUUUUCUGGAGUCAGGAUGUUCUCGGUCACCCUCCUGGCUCUGCCCUGUCCCACUCCACCCCACCCCAGGGGGGAACAGUAGCUGCACCUUGCUAUCCCCACUGCUCUCCUGGUUCACUCUUACGGGCGGUCUCCGGUGACUGAAGCAUUCCCCACCCUUGGAAUUUCUCAUCUUCUGCCUCCCUUCUUACUCCUUUUGGUUUUGUGGGGAGAGGGGAAGGAUCAGGGGUCCAGGCCAGCAGCUCGGGGGCCACAGGGAGAUGGAUAAUGUGCCUGUUUUUUAACACGACAAAAAAGCCUACCUCCAAAAUCCCCUUUUUGUUCUUCCUGGACCUGGGCAUUCAGCCUCCUGCUCUUAACUGAAUUGGGAGCCUCUGCCACCUGCCCCGUGUAUCCUGGCUCUCAGCUCAUGGGGAAGCCACACAGACAUCCCUUUCUUCCCUUGCACGCUCGCUAGCAGCUGGUAAGGUCUUCACACCCUCAUUCCUCAAGUUUUCUGCUUAGUGGCACUGACAUUAAGUAGUGGGGGGACAGUCCAUGCCAGGACAUCCUGGAGUAGCCUUCCCCCUUGGCCACGGGCAGGCCCUAACUCACUGUCGCUUUGGAGUUGAGGUGUCCUUUUUUUUCUUUCUUUAGUUCCUGUAUUCUAAACAUUAGUAAAAAUAAAUGUUUUUACACAGAG
rnacentral:sRNA from 1 species